rnacentral:rRNA from 1 species
UACGCAGGGGGCAAGCGUUAUCCGGAUUUACUGGGCGUAAAGCGCGUGUAGGCGGUUGCGCAAGUUGGUUGUGAAAUCUCCCGGCUCAACCGGGAAACUGCAGCCAAAACUGCGCGGCUAGAGUGGCAGAGAGGAAAGUGGAAUUCCCGGUGUAGUAGUGAAAUGCGUAGAGAUCAGGCGGAACACCCGUGGCGAAGGCGGCCAGCUGGGCCGUCCCUGACGCUGAGGCGCGAAGGCGUGGGGAGCGAACGGG